rnacentral:lncRNA from 1 species
GGCAGGUUAAUUAGCCAGUCCUGACCAACUAGAUUCCAUGUGGAAUGGUUGAAAGGAAGCCAGUCCUUUCUAUUUCUAUGUUUGAAUAAGUCUACUCUUCUUUAGAUUUCUACGCCUAGCAAGCAUUGAACUCGUUUUUCGUGGAGUCAAAUCCCCAGUCAGCUCUGAUUCAACGAGAUACACAUACAAACACGAACAUGGCACUCCAGAAUCCUGUGGUCAUCUCCCCUCUAGUUUUCAUGGGAACUCUCCAUCACAUAGACAUACAACCGUACGCCCGGCUGUGACACACACCUUGGUCUCGGGUGAUUGGAUAAUUUGUUUCAGUGUGUUAUGUUGUUUCUGAAGACAUGCUCUAUGAUUAUGUUUUCUAUGUCCGUGGUAAUGGAUGACCUGAAUGUCCUUUGUUCCUUCCUUUCGGGAUAAAGUGCGCACAGAAAGCUACAAGGACUUCAUGUACCUCAAACCCGAAGUGUUCAAGGACAAGGUGGUGCUAGAUGUGGGCUGUGGGACGGGCAUCCUGUCUAUGUUCGCCGCCAGAGUGGGAGCCAAGAUGGUCAUUGGGUCCAUUGAUUGAUUGACCAAUCAGAAAUCAUUCUCCAGGCCAUGGACAUUGUCAGGGUUACUUUUUGCUGUUUGAGUCCCUGCUCUACGCCAGAGACCUCUACCUGGCCGAAGGGGGCUCAGAACAUUGCACCAUCAGCCUGGCUGCAGUGGGCGACAUGGAGAAGCACCAGGGUUCAAGAUGGCGUGCAUGAGGAAGGCCGUGGUAACAGAGGCAGUGGUGCAGAUUCUCCGACCAGACACUCAUCUCUAAGCCUGCAGUCAUACAGAGGAUUGAUUGUAACAGUGUGUCUCUCAGAGCUGGAGUUUGCAUCAGACUUCUGCCUAAAGAUUACAGACUGCACGGCCAUCGUUGGCUACUAUGACAUUUUCUUCGACAGAUUCUGCGGCAACAAGGUAAGCAGCAUGUGGCGGCCCUUCCUUUUAACGGCAACCCAAUUAUAUU